rnacentral:rRNA from 1 species
UACGUAGGGUGCGAGCGUUGUCCGGAAUUAUUGGGCGUAAAGGGCUCGUAGGCGGUUUGUCGCGUCGGGAGUGAAAACGCCGUGCUUAACACGGCGCUUGCUUUCGAUACGGGCAGACUAGAGGUAUGCAGGGGAGAACGGAAUUCCUGGUGUAGCGGUGAAAUGCGUAGAUAUCUGGAGGAACACCGGUGGCGAAGGCGGCAUCCUGGACCGGCAUUGACGCUGAGGCGCGAAAGCCAGGGGAGCAAACGGG